rnacentral:rRNA from 1 species
UACGUAGGCAGCAAGCGUUGUUCGGAUUUACUGGGCGUAAAGGGCGCGUAGGCGGCGCUGCAAGUCAGGCGUGAAAUUCCUGGGCUUAACCUGGGGGCUGCGCUUGAUACUGAUGAGCUUGAAUGCGGGAGAGGAUAGUGGAAUUCCCAGUGUAGAGGUGAAAUUCGUAGAUAUCGGGAAGAACACCAGUGGCGAAAGCGGCUCACUGGCCCGAUACUGACGCUGAGGUGCGAAAGCGUGGGGAGCAAACAGG